rnacentral:rRNA from 1 species
UAGUGGCCUACCAAGGCAAUGAUGGGUAGCCGGGUUGAGAGACCGACCGGCCAGAUUGGGACUGAGACAUGGCCCAGACUCCUACGGGAGGCAGCAGGUGGGGAAUCUUGCACAAUGGGCGAAAGCCUGAUGCAGCGACGCCGCGUGCGGGAUGAAGGCCUUCGGGUUGUAAACCGCUUUCAGCAGGGGACGAGGCCGCAAGGUGACGGUACCUGCAGAAGAAGCCCCGGGCUAACUACGUGCCCAGCAGCCGCGGGUAAAUA